rnacentral:snRNA from 1 species
AUGCUCUGGGCAUGAAAGUCUCCCACCUGACCGUAUGCGGAAAACGCAGUGAGAUUUAAAAAUUUUUACAAUGUUUAAAUCAACUCACUUGGACGUAUCUGUUUUGCAUAUUCUCUCUCUCUCUGCACCCUUUGGGUACCUAGAGUGGGAGGAUUGUUGAAUUGUACGUCUAGUAUUGUCCUGGCAAGUUUAAUACUUGACAGUGUAUAUUUCGGUAUUGGGACCUUGUUAGGUCCUAAACGAUAGUUAUGACGAUUGCCUAAUAUUUUUCUUAUUAGGUAACCCAAUGGAGCUUACUAUA